rnacentral:tRNA from 1 species
UUGAUAGAAACCAAAGCAAGAGGUAUAUCACUGUUAAUGAUAACAUUGAAAAAUUUUUCCUAUCAAG